AGGCUCUGUUUUACACCAAAAAAGCUCUUCUGGGCACCGAGGCAGGCACCGUGGGUUCCCUGCUGCCAGAAUUAAUGUGGGUAUAAAUGAGUUAAUACUGCGCACUGCUUCUGGGGCAUGCGAUGUAGCCCAUGAGAAUCUCCGCGGACUCUGAGUCUAGAGGCGAAGAAUCUUUGUUUUGUCACUGAUAAAUGAUCUGCCUGCCCUUAAUCCUGAUUCCAUAUUCCUCAUUUGUAAAGCUGUUGGGGUAUUUGCACUGAGCAGAUCGCUCUCUCUGCCAGCUUAGCUUCACAUGGCAGUUUGGGAUUUUUUUUUCUUUAAGAUUUUAUAAAGCUGAGUGUAAAAUGGGAAUGUUUUCAUAAACGCUUAAGCAUCUUUAGUGAAGCUAAUUUAUAGAAUUGAAAUGUUCCUCUCCGGCAGUUUUAAACUCAAAUUCCUCCGCGGUGGUGGGGGGUUGGGGCCAAGAAACAGGAAACUGCUCUGUUUCAUUGUUCCCACUCAACAAUAAAAAAUUAAACCGCCUAAAAAGUGCAAGCUAGAGAGAAUUUUUUCAGACAUUCUCUCCUCUGAAUUGGAGUGAUGGUGAUAAAGACACAAAUGGGCUCCUUCUCCCUCCCCGGGUCUCCCCGCCCUCCCCCUAGCAGGGGGCCCGGCAGCCACACCUUGAAUCUGUGGGGUGACUCAGCCCCUAUGGCACAGUGCUAAGUACAACACCCAGCACCUUACUCAAGUCACCUUUGCCAGCGGCGUGCCUCCCGGUCCCUCCCUUGGGAGCGCGUCUUGGCAAUGGCGUGACUGGAUGGCGAAGAACCUGAAUUGUGCAACCUUGCGAUGUUGUGUAACCACCACCGCUGCACUUUUUUCACAGUCGGCUGGAGAGUGUACCGCACAGCCAGAGUCUGCAGCGAGGUUCCCGUGAAGAAAAAGUACGGUCAGCAGCUUCCUGAUUGUGAUUUACCAAGAAGCGGCACAGUCUCUGCAGGAAAUAUGUCAGCUGCCCCAUUGUCCUCUUAUUUAAAGUAGGACAGACACCAAGCUUGAGAAUACUUGAAUAGGAGGACUCAGAAGCAGAAAAUGAGAGCAACCAAGUCAGUCUCAAUCAUGACUCACAAGCUCCAACUUCACUUAUGGAGUCAUCCAGUGAAAUCAAACUGAUAGUGAGUACAGGGAGCAGCAGUGAUCAGAGGAAGCCAAAAGAGCUCUGAUGAGAGGAACCAUGUCAUUUUCUCAGCCUUUAUUGUUGGUGUCUCCCUGAAGACCAUUUACUUGGAACUUAGACAGGAGACUAAAGUCUGUGAUCUCUGGGUUUGCUUAACUCUGUAGACAGCUGGUAUAUCACAUACAAAAUAUUACCCCACACUCUCAUAGUGUGAUGAGUUGUUAAUAAAACCAUUCCAAAUUUUUGGUUCUCAUUCACUCUAAAUGUAGAUAGUACUGGCUGAACAUGGAUAUAUCAGCUCUGCUUAUCACUCUAAAUGUCAUCUGUCUUUAACUUUAUCCAAAACAGUUUUAUUUUGCUUCAGAGAAAGCAAUGCUCUCAAUUUCCUGAAAAUCCAAGCCAAGAAGAAUCACAGUAUGAAGAAUUAUGCUAAAUAUUUGGUCCUCAGCCUUCCUGGAGCUGUGGCAUGAAGCAUCAGUGGCCUCAAUAUGUGUUGGGUUUUCCUUGGAAUAAUGGAUAACACAUGUGCUUUCAAAAUUUUAUGUAUAGUUGAGAGUUUUGGGAUAGGGAACUGUCCAUAAUUCUGUCUCCUCAAGACAUUACAAGAUGUUUUCCUGUCUUUCUGUAUUUCCACAAAGAGGACGUGUGAAUGUAUAAAAAUUCCCUAAUAUCGUUUCUGCCUCACUCUCACCCCAUCCCCAAAUAGUUGUUUUAUUUGGUCUGCUUUCUUUCUUAAGUUUCAGUGUAGGCGAUAUUUUAACAUGGUUUUUCUUUUUUUUUGAGACAGAGUUUCACUCUUGUUACCCAGGCUGGAGUGCAAUGGCUUGAUCUCAGCUCACCGCAACCUCCGCCUCUUGGGUUCAGGCAAUUCUCCUGCCUCAGCCUCCUGAGUAGCUGGGAUUACAGGCACGCGCCACCAUGCCCAGCUAAUUUUUUGUAUUUUUAGUAGAGACGGAGUUUCACCAUGUUGACCAGAUGGUCUCGAUCUCUUAACAUGGUUUAAAGCUUAGAUUAAGAUUAAGAAUUUGGACAACACAGUUUGAAUUGUCAGCUAUUUACUAAUUGCAACUUUUAAUAAGGUGUAGAUUCUUCCUCUGAAAACGAGAAAAAUAAUUCGUGCUACCUUGGCUUCCCAAAGUGCUGGGGUUACAGUUAUAAUGGAUAGCAGAGUAGGGUUGAAGCAGGAGGUGGGACUCAACUCCAGAGGCGGGUCUCAGACACGAGACCAUAUUGAGGACUAGCUAACACAGGGCUGGGGUGGGAGCAGCUUUCCAAUCAGACACACCCACCAGUGUGCCAGGUCAGUUUACCAUCACCAUGGAAACACCGGGAGUUAUUGCCCCUUUCUGUGGCAAUGACCCAAUGACCCGAAAGCUACUACCCCUUCCCUAGUAAUUUCUGCAUAAAUUGCUCUUGAAUCUGCAUGUUAUUAAAAAUAGAUAUAAAUGUGACUGCAGAACUGCCCUGAGCUGCUACUCUGCGUACAGAGAAGCUCUGUUCUGCAGGAGCAGUCACACCACCGGUGCUAUAACACUGCUGCAUCGAUAAAGCUCUUUUCUUCUACCCCUGGCUUGUCCUUGAAUUUUUUCCUGGGCAAAACCAAGAAUCCUCAAGAGCUAAGCCCCACUUUGGGGCUCAUCUCCCUGCAUCAGGGUGACUGUAGUUAACAACAGUGUAUUAUAUAUUUCAAGGUAGCUAGAAGAGAGGACUUGAACUGUUCCCAGUACACAGAAAUGAUAGAUACUCAAGGUGAUACAUGCCCCAAUAACUCUGACUUCAUCAUUAUACAUUCCAUGCACGUAACAAAAUAUCACGUGUCCCAUACAUAUGUAUCAAUGUAAAAAAGUAGCAUGCAUGCCCCUCCCCAAAGAAUUGAGCAAAUGAAUAAGUGAAUGAAUGGUAGUUAUUUGCUAUUUUCUAGUAGUUGUAAUCAAAAAUGAUAUUCAAAAGAUGUGCCAUCAACUGGUUGCAUGAGGCUUUAAUCCAGAGGCAGUUGGGGUGAUAUGGGAUGCACCAGGGGGAUCAGCCCCCAACUGGUGCAGAGGUGUUUUAUUACUCGACAGUUGGUUGUCUGUGUUGGUGUGCUGUCUGAAUGUCAGCCCUGCCUGUCAACACUGGCAUCAUGUCCUCCACACUCUUCCCCAAUCCCUUUUUGACCCCAAACACCAACAUUGGCAGGAUGACUGAGUGGGAUGAAGGUCGACCGUAGAACUUUUUUCCUACUCAGUGCAAAGCCAACUGGCCCAUACCAGUAUCAACCUCAACUUUGGUUCCUUUGGCCCUGCACUGUGAGAUUUGAGCCACUGGCCAACGCAACCAGCUUCUAGUAUUACCACGAACUGAUCUUUUUCUACCUUGGAAAUUUUCAUUGUAACCACUCCACAUUUUUGCUAUAAUCAGGCUUAUGAUUAUAAGGCAGGGACUUGCACAUUGCAGGGUGGGUUGGCACACUUCUUCAGAUGGACUGGCAAGGGCACAUGUCCUCCUUCCAAUUCUCUCUUAAACUGAAUCACUCCUCUGGCUUGGCCAGGAGAAUACCAGCUUUGCCAAGCUGACUUUAUUAUGUGUAUCCUGGUGCACAUUCCCUUUUGUGUAUGUAGCUCUGUUUCCUGGCAUUAUUAUUUUUGGUAGGAUUGGGGUCGAUCUCUGGCGAUGUGUUAUUUUUCCAGCUGAAGUGUUUUAUUCCUGCACUUUGACAUUCCAUGAAGCUUUGUGAAAACACUCGCCCUGCUCUCGGGAGGUUGUUUGUAGAGGGUAAUGUUGCCCCGAACUUUUUCUUCCAGGUCAUGGUGCAAUCCACAGGACUGAGACGAGUUGCCAUUCUGAUUCUCCGUUCACUGAAGGACUUGGGGCUUAAAACUUGAUUUCUCUGAGCCUUUGUUAUCACAACUGUAAAGUGGUGAUAAGGAGAGAAUAAAAGAGAUAAUGUGAAUUGAAGUACAAAGCAAUCUCAGGUAGUCAUUCAUUACCAUGCAUCAGCCAUAGUUCCUGGCUGUAGGGAGCUAUGGAUUGAUGCGGGAAAUAACACAUUCAUAGUCAAUUAAGAUACAGACUCAGAAGUCCUGCAAACAGGGAUAAAUGCAAGGUGUUAUAAAAGCACAUGGGAAGAGGGCUAAACUCAGUCUUGAGGGCUUGUUAGAAAAAGCAUAGAGCUUCAUGGAAUGUCAUGGAAUGUCAAAGUGCAGGAAUAAAACAUUUCAGCUG
ensembl:lncRNA